rnacentral:rRNA from 1 species
UGAGGAAUAUUGCGCAAUGGGGGCAACCCUGACGCAGCAACGCCGCGUGAGUGAGGAAGGUUUUCGGAUUGUAAAGCUCUGUCAACAGGGACGAUAAUGACGGUACCUGUGGAGGAAGCCACGGCAAACUACGUGCCAGCAGCCGCGGUAAUACGUAGGUGGCAAGCGUUGUCCGGAAUAACUGGGCGUAAAGCGAAUGUAGACGGCAUAGCAAGCCAAGUGUGAAAUUUAGGGGCUUAACCUCUAAACUGCGUUUGGAACUGCUGAGCUUGAGUGCAGGAGAGGCAAGUGGAAUUCCCAGUGUAGCAGUGAAAUGCGUAGAUAUUGGGAGGAACACCAGUGGCGAAGGCGACUUGCUGGACUGCAACUGACGUUGAGAUGCGAAAGCUAGGGGAGCAAACG